rnacentral:rRNA from 1 species
GACGAACGCUGGCGGCGUGCUUAACACAUGCAAGUCGAACGGAAAGGCCCCUUUGGGGGUACUCGAGUGGCGAACGGGUGAGUAACACGUGAGUAACCUGCCCUUGACUUCGGGAUUACUUCAGGAAACUGGGGCUAAUACCGGAUAGGAAUCCUUGCUUCAUGGGGGGGGUUGGAAAGUUUCGGCGGGUUUGGAUGGACUCGCGGCUUAUCAGCUUGUUGGUGGGGCAGUGGCUUACCAAGGCUAUGAAGGGUAGCCGGACUGCGUGGGCGACCGGCCACAUUGGGACUGAGAGACGGCCCAGACUGCUACGGGAGGCAGCAGUGGGGAAUAUUGCACGAUGGGCGGAGGCCUGAUGCAGCAACGCCGCGGGCGGGAUGACGGCCUUCGGGUUGUAAACCGCUUUCAGCAGGGGCGAAGCUUGUGGUGACGGUACCUGCAGAGGAAGCACCGGCUAACUACGUG